GACGAACGCUGGCGGCGUGCUUUACACAUGCAAGUCGAACGGUGAAGGUGGAGCUUGCUCCGCCGGAUCAGUGGCGAACGGGUGAGUAACACGUGGGCAACCUGCCCCUAACUUUGGGAUAACUACUCGAAAGAGUAGCUAAUACCGGAUACGAAGUCUGUAGGCAUCUACGGAUUUGGAAAGUUUUUCGGUUAGGGAUGGGCCCGCGGCCUAUCAGCUUGUUGGUGAGGUAGUGGCUCACCAAGGCGACGACGGGUAGCCGGCCUGAGAGGGCGACCGGCCACACUGGGACUGAGACACGGCCCAGACUCCUACGGGAGGCAGCAGUGGGGAAUAUUGCGCAAUGGGCGAAAGCCUGACGCAGCAACGCCGCGUGCGGGAUGAAGGCCUUCGGGUUGUAAACCGCUUUCAGCAGGGAAGAAGCGAAAGUGACGGUACCUGCAGAAGAAGCACCGGCUAACUACGUGCCAGCAGCCGCAGUAA
rnacentral:rRNA from 1 species